GGCCUCGUUCUCAAAUCCCAUAUUGCAUUUGUCACACUCCACUUCCAUGUACAAGUAAACAGCUACCUCUUUUUCUUUGUACCUAACUGCCAUCAGUUUCCCAAAUCCUUGUAUUUUCCCACACCGAACACGUCCUCGUACAAGUAAACAGCUACCUCUUUUUUUUUUUUCUUUGUACCUAACUGCCAUUAGUUUCAACCACUCAUGUAUUUUCCCACUCAUGUGUUUAUCUUUUCCCUUAAGAGAGGAGGAAAACAUAUUGAUUGACCCACUAUUCAAGGCUCGAUCAACACA
rnacentral:lncRNA from 1 species